GCUAACUACGUGCCAGCAGCCGCGGUAAUACGUAGGUGGCAAACGUUAUUCGGAAUUAUUGGGCGUAAAGGGUCCGUAGGCGGCUCAACAAGUCUCAUGUGAAAUCUCUUGGCUCAACCAAGAAAGGUCAUGAGAAACUGUUGGGCUAGAGAUCAUUAGAGGGAGAUGGAAUUCCAGGUGUAGUGGUGAAAUGCGUAGAUAUCUGGAGGAACAUCAAUGGCGAAAGCAGUCUCCUAGGAUGAUUCUGACGCUCAGGGACGAAAGCGUGGGUAGCAAACCGGAUUAGAUACCCGGGUAGUCCACGCCCUAAACGAUGAAUGCUAGGUUUAUGAGGGCUCGCCCCUUGUGAGCCGGAGCUAACGCGUUAAGCAUUCCGCCUGGGGACUACGGCCGCAAGGCUAAAACUCAAAGGAAUUGACGGGGGCCCGCACAAGCAGCGGAGCGUGUGGUUUAAUUCGAUGCUAAGCGAAGAACCUUACCUAGACUUGACAUGUUGGUGGUACUGAACCGAAAGGGAAUGGACCCGCAAGGGAGCCAACACAGGUGCUGCAUGGUUGUCGUCAGCUCGUGUCGUGAGAUGUUGGGUUAAGUCCCGCAACGAGCGCAACCCUCGUGGCUAGUUGAAUUUCUCUAGCCAGACUGCCUUAAUAAGGAGGAAGGUGGGGAUGACGUCAAAUCAUCAUGGCUCUUACGUCUAGGGCUACACACACGCUACAAUGGCCGGUACAGACGGUAGCGAAGUCGCGAGAUGGAGCCAAUCUGAAAAAACCGGUCCCAAUUGGAAUUGUAGGCUGAAACUCGCCUGCAUGAACGUGGAGUU
rnacentral:rRNA from 1 species